rnacentral:tRNA from 1 species
GGAAGCGUGGCAGAGCGGACGAAUGCACCGGUCUUGAAAACCGGAAGGGUGAAUAGCCCUCGGAGGUUCGAAUCCUCCCGCUUCCG